GACGUAGGGGGCGAGCGUUGUCCGGAAUCAUUGGGCGUAAAGCGCGUGUAGGCGGCUUGGUAAGUCCGGUGUGAAACCUUGGGGCUCAACCCCAAGCCUGCACUGGAUACUGCCUCGCUUGAGUCCGGGAGGGGAGAGCGGAAUUCCUAGUGUAGCGGUGAAAUGCGCAGAUAUUAGGAAGAACACCGGUGGCGAAGGCGGCUCUCUGGAACGGUACUGACGCUGAGACGCGAAAGCGUGGGGAGCGAACAGG
rnacentral:rRNA from 1 species